CGGACCAAGGAGUCUGAC
rnacentral:siRNA from 1 species